CCAAACGACUCUCGGCAACGGAUAUCUCGGCUCUCGCAUCGAUGAAGAACGUAGCGAAAUGCGAUACUUGGUGUGAAUUGCAGAAUCCCGUGAACCAUCGAGUCUUUGAACGCAAGUUGCGCCCGAAGCCCUCAGGCCUAGGGCACGUCUGCCUGGGCGUCA
rnacentral:rRNA from 1 species